CGGCCCUGCGGCGGGUUCGGUGGGCCCAAUCCCGGGGCGGUGCGGCUGUUUCGGGCGCGGGCCCCGCUUUUCCGCACCCUGCUCCGGCCUCGACUACGGCGAGCCUGAGCGCGGCGGCGGCCCACGCGCAGCGACAGGGAGAGGCACUAUGUCGUCCGAGGCCCAGAGAUGACCCCUUAUGAAGGUGGCUAUUAUCAUGGAAAACUAAUUUUUCCCAGAGAAUUUCCUUUCAAACCUCCCAGUAUCUAUAUGAUCACUCCCAACGGGAGGUUUAAGUGCAACACCAGGCUGUGUCUUUCUAUCACGGAUUUCCACCCGGACACGUGGAACCCGGCCUGGUCUGUCUCCACCAUCCUGACUGGGCUCCUGAGCUUCAUGGUGGAGAAGGGCCCCACCCUGGGCAGUAUAGAGACGUCGGACUUCACGGUGAGUUUUAGAGCCUCUCCCUGGUGGGCCGUCAGCCUUGUGUCUGGGGGGCUGUUCUCUGUUCCUGAGUUGCAGCUGCCUUUUUUUUUUUUUUUUUUUUUUUUUUUUUUUUGAGACGGAGUCUCGCUGUGUCUCCAGGCUGGAGUGCAGUGGCGCAAUCUCGGCUCACUGCAAGCUCCGCCCCCCGGGGUUCACGCCAUUCUCCUGUCUCAGCCUCCCGAGUAGCUGGGACUACAGGCGCCCACCACCACGCCCGGCUAAUUUUUUUUUUGUAUUUUUAGUAGAGACGGGGUUUCGCCGUGUUAACCAGGAUGUCUUGAUUUCCUGACCUCGUGAUCCGCCCUCCUGGGCCUCCCAAAGUGCUGGGAUUACAGGCGUGAGCCACCGAGCCCGGCCGCAGCUGCCUUUCUUCUCAGUAGGCGGGGCUGGGUGGAGUUCCCACCUUGUCCCAGGCACUGUCGUGGAGACUGCUUUGCUCUGUGGCCUCGUGUUCCCCGCUGCCUCUCGGUCUUGCUUUUAUCCACAUCCAGCCUCAUCCACACCCGCCAGGGGCUCCUCCUUGGGAUCUUGGGGUGGGCCAAGGCAGUACCAGUUGCACAGAAGGCCCGGGCCUCUUCAGCGGGGAGCACGGUCU
rnacentral:lncRNA from 1 species